rnacentral:rRNA from 1 species
UAAUACGAAGGGGGCUAGCGUUGCUCGGAAUGACUGGGCGUAAAGGGCGCGUAGGCGGUUCGUACAGUCAGACGUGAAAUUCCCGGGCUCAACCUGGGGGCUGCGUUUGAUACGUGCGGGCUUGAGUUCGGAAGAGGGUCGUGGAAUUCCCAGUGUAGAGGUGAAAUUCGUAGAUAUUGGGAAGAACACCGGUGGCGAAGGCGGCGACCUGGUCCGAUACUGACGCUGAGGCGCGAAAGCGUGGGGAGCAAACAGGAUUAGAUACCCUGGUAGUCCACGCCGUAAACGAUGUGUGCUGGAUGUUGGGCAGCUUGGCUGUUCAGUGUCGUAGCUAACGCGAUAAGCACACCGCCUGGGGAGUACGGCCGCAAGGUUG